GGGCAUGUGGUGUAGUUGGUUAUCACGCUCGCUUAGCAUAUCAUGUGAUUGCGAGAGGGGUCCGGUUCGAUCCCGGACAUGUCCA